rnacentral:rRNA from 1 species
GGGAAUUUUGGACAAUGGACGCAAGUCUGAUCCAGCCAUUCCGCGUGCAGGAUGAGGGCCCUCGGGUUGUAAACUGCUUUUGUACGGAACGAAAAGGUCUCUAUUAAUACUAGGGGCUCAUGACGGUACCGUAAGAAUAAGCACCGGCUAACUACGUGCCAGCAGCCGCGGUAAUACGUAGGGUGCAAGCGUUAAUCGGAAUUACUGGGCGUAAAGCGUGCGCAGGCGGUUAUGUAAGACAGAGGUGAAAUCCCCGGGCUCAACCUGGGAACUGCCUUUGUGACUGCAUAGCUAGAGUACGGUAGAGGGGGAUGGAAUUCCGCGUGUAGCAGUGAAAUGCGUAGAUAUGCGGAGGAACACCGAUGGCGAAGGCAAUCCCCUGGACCUGUACUGACGCUCAUGCACGAAAGCGUGGGGAGCAAACAGGAUUAGAUACCCUGGUAGUCCACGCCCUAAACGAUGUCAACUGGUUGUUGGGUGCUCACUGACUCAGUAACGAAGCUAACGCGUGAAGUUGACCGCCUGGGGAGUACGGCCGCAAGGUUG